UAAACUAGGAUUAGAUACCCUAUUAUUCUUAAUCAAUAUUAAAUUUGGAGAGUACAAGUAAUAAACUUAAAAACCAAAGAAUAUGGCGGUAUUUUAUUCUAUCAGGGGAACCUGUAUCUUAAUUCGAUAGUCCACGUUCUAUAAGUCUAAUUUUGAAUAGUCAGUUUGUGUACUGCCGUAUUAUUAACUUUAAAUAUUUUGUUUAUAAAAUUUAUUAAUUAAAACAAAUCAGGUCAAAGUGCAACUUAUAAUUAGAUGAUAUAUGGGUUACAUUUAUUUUUAGAUUCGAAGUUAAAUAAUUUGUAGGAUUUGACAGUAAUUAGAUUUAAUUAGAUUUAAUGAAGUAGAUUCUAAAAUAUGUACACAUCGCCCGUCGCUCUUA
rnacentral:rRNA from 1 species